UUAGCCACUUAAUAUCUUUAUUAAUUUAAUACCUCUAGAAAGUCACAACCUCAUUGUGGCUCAUUUUUCUCUUUAAUAUAAUAACAAAUUAGAUCAAAUCAUCUCUGAGGUUUCAUCUAGUCUAAGAUUUCCUGUAGUAACAACCUAGAUCCUAGUUUCUUAUGGUUUACCUAAAGAAGGAUAUGAAAUGGUCUGGAAUUUGAGGGCAAUAUCUGAAACUAGUAAUUGAAAGAAAUGAAUCAAAAAAUCUUUAAUUUAGACAUUGAGAGAAAAACUUUUCCAUGGCCAUAUAUAUAUGUAUCUUAAGGUCUCAUCCCAUUUGAUCUAGAAGAACCCCAUAUGGUGCCACCAUGUGGUACUUAGAAAGGAGAGAAGCAAUUGAAGCAAGAGAUUGUUGUUAUUUGGGGUAAGAGAAGCAUUUCAGAUGAACAGGGGAACCAGAUUUGUGUAUUUAAAAUUUCAUUCAUUAUAUUCAUUAACCUGUAAGAUAAAUUCCAGAUUAAUCUGAUUUCCAAAGUGUUACAUGGUUCUCCUCUGUGAACAGUUUCCAACUCAGCAAAUAGUUAUUGAGUGCCUAUUAUGUUCAGGGUCUUCCGCCAGGUACUCUGGAGAAUACCAAAAAGAGUAAGAGGGACCUCCAGGUCUUCCUAAUUCUUAAGACUGGUUUAUGUCAGGUGGCCUUUGUUUAUGUCCCCAAAAAGACUAUAGUGGUCUAAUAGAAGGACAUCCUGACAUAAAUCAUUCUAAGAGUCAGGAAGACCUGAAAAUCUCUUAAAGUCAGAAAGUUCCACUUCUGGGACUUUGUGACCCACAUUGGCUAUGUGACCCCAAGCAACUUUCUAAGAUCUAAAUUACAGAGCCAGUGCUCAUCUGUACUGACCCAGCAAGUUCUGACAGAACCUCUCAACAAUGAUGAAAUCACAGUAUUGGUUUUAAAAAAUAAAACCUAGGGAACAAAUAUGCAACAAUAAAAAAUGGAUUUAAGUUGGUGUGCUCAUGGCUUUGCUACCUAAGCUUCCUUAGCUGUAUUAAUAUACAUGCUUCCUUGAUAGCUCUGGAGUUAUCCACUGGGCUUUUUUUUUUUUUUUACAGAAAUUCUUAACAGAUUUAUAUAAUUUAGAAGUUAGGAUCAUAGAUUUAGAACUGGAAGAGACUUAGAAGUUACCUCACCUAACUCCCUUAUUUUAUAAAUUAAAAAAACACCAAUAGAGAAAAGACUUGUCUAAGGCCUCUUAUAAUUGGUGAUAGGACUGGGAUCCAAAUCUACAUCUUCUGACUAAAAAUUUUCUUCUUCACCUGAUGUAUAGCCUGUUACAUGGGAAGCAGAGAUAUUUCAAAGUGAGGAUGAUUGAAACAGAGUUUAGAGUUACUUGUCAGAGAUCAGAAGAAUACAUGCAAGAGGCUGGAGAUCCACAGUACAGAGAUGAUCCUCAAACACUGUGUCAAGGCAAGCCUGCGUUCCGAGAGGAUCUAUCAAACUUCAGGACUUAUUUCCAUGGCUCAUGGCUCACCUCAGAGAAAGGCACGAAAAUGGGAAGCCAAGUGUGGAGAGAGAGUGAAAGGAAUUCCCUAAGAACUGGAAUAUUCAGUGGGAAGUAUUGAGUGAAUGCCCCUCUCCAGUGAACAACAGCAAAAGUAAAUCCGCAUUAUGAAUACACAUAAUACAGAAAAAAAGAUAUUCACAUUGACCGUGCUCCAAUAUACUUCCAUCUGGAUUGAAAUUCACCUCUCUGGAGGAGGUGAGUGGUGUGUUUCAUCUUCAGGCUUCUGGACUUGUGAUUUGUCUUUACAUUGAUCACAUUUCUAAAGUCUUUCAGAGUAUGUAUUUCAUAUUUUCUAAAGUUUGGCUUGACUUGGGUCAAAACUAGAAGGAAUAGGUCCAAGGAGCAGAGCAGGAGAUUUAGGCUAUUUCCUACCAAUAGUUACAUUAACAUAGAAUGGGUUACUUUAGGAAGUGGUGAGUUCUCCCUCACUUGAUGUCUUCAAGACAAACCU